AGUGUUGGAGGGUUUCCGCCUUUCAGUGCUGCAGCUAACGCAUUAAGCACUCCGCCUGGGGAGUACGACCGCAAGGUUGAAACUCAAAGGAAUUGACGGGGGCCCGCACAAGCGGUGGAGCAUGUGGUUUAAUUCGAAGCAACGCGAAGAACCUUACCAGGUCUUGACAUCCUUUGACCACUCUAGAGAUAGAGCUUCCCCUUCGGGGGCAAAGUGACAGGUGGUGCAUGGUUGUCGUCAGCUCGUGUCGUGAGAUGUUGGGUUAAGUCCCGCAACGAGCGCAACCCUUAUUGUUAGUUACCAUCAUUCAGUUGGGCACUCUAGCAAGACUGCCGGUGACAAACCGGAGGAAGGUGGGGAUGACGUCAAAUCAUCAUGCCCCUUAUGACCUGGGCUACACACGUGCUACAAUGGGAAGUACAACGAGUUGCGAAGUCGCGAGGCUAAGCUAAUCUCUUAAAGCUUCUCUCAGUUCGGAUUGCAGGCUGCAACUCGCCUGCAUGAAGCCGGAAUCGCUAGUAAUCGCGGAUCAGCACGCCGCGGUGAAUACGUUCCCGGGCCUUGUACACACCGCCCGUCACACCACGAGAGUUUGUAACACCCGAAGUCGGUGAGGUAACCUUUUUGGAGCCAGCCGCCUAAGGUGGGAUAGAUGAUUGGGGUGAAGUCGUAACAAGGUAGCCGUAUCGGAAGGUGCGGCUGGAUCACCUCCUUUCUAAGGAA
rnacentral:rRNA from 1 species